rnacentral:snRNA from 1 species
CUGCUCACUUUGGCAGCACAUAUACUAAUACUGGGACGAUACAGAGAAGAUUAGCAUGGUCUCUGCACAAGGAUGACAGGCAAAUUCGUGAAGCAUUCCAUAUUUUA